CACUCCUCUCGAUCCGACGAGCUCGCGCCCAACCUCCUUUGGCCUGAGGUUUAAAACUGCUCCCUCCCCUCGUCCAUCCUUCCGAUGCACGUCAAAGCCGCUGAUUAAGCCCACCGUCGAACCAUCGAUGGGGUGCAGGGGAGGGCAGUGUCUGCCAUUGGCGACUUCUGUCUAAACCACUAUGUAGGGCUCUAGGAUUGAUCAUGGUGAAGCGCCAUAUGUCGAGGAUCACGUGUGUCACGGUGGCAAGCAGGAUGGGUGGUCGGAGCUAGAGCAAUUGCUCGAUGGAGCAAUUGGCGCCGUCGUGGAUCGCACCGCACCGUGGCUGAGGGCCACCCCAACUUCACCCACUGGUAAGCCACAUCGAUCCAGACUGCUUGGAUUCCUGCCUUGCGUUGCACCGACCUCGAGAGGAAAUGGGGUAGUGGAGCGCGGUGGCGGGAUCACACCGUUGAAUCCGUCGCGGUGGAGCUACGGGCGCCACCCAGCGUUGUCCUUUGAGAAAGAAGAUGUCCUACGUCCUAGGGUCGUUGAUGAACGAAUCAAUGGAGUCGAUUAGAUCAGGUUUAAUAAAAGUGUGGGCAGUUGAAACCCAGAUGAGCGCAUGAUAUCACAUCUAUCAUACCCUUGGAUCUGGUGAUUGAGAUUGCAUGCCGAUUCGGACUCUAUUGUCAGCCCUUGGAUCGCGAUCUGGUGAACCAGAGCGCUUCACGGACAUAGCAGCACGGUAGUCUUCCAUAUGAGCACCUCGGCUUUUACAAAAUCAACCCGCAGUCCUUACACAUAUACGAAUUAUCGCAAAACAUUCCUGAAUUUUAGAAUUCAGACCCUAGACUUCCUAGGAAUAGCACCGGCCAUCCACAAGCUACCUAAAAAUACGAAAUAAAUAUAGAAAUACAAUUUUAAUAUGGAAAAGAUUCCAUAAGCUUAUUUAAUUCAUAACUUAUGCAUUUUAGCUCCGAUUUGAUCCACCUAAAUCGCGCUAGCUUCGUAAUAAAAUUGACUACACAAUAACAACACUAUUCGUAACAUAUCAUGAACCUUUAUCAAUAGAUAUAUAUUUAACUGGUGUUUAAUAGAUUAUCUUACUAAUCAAAGAUAAUAUGUCUAUAAUUAUUAUUUGACAAGAAAGGUGAUCUGUAGAUUAAAGUUAUAACUUAGAUUAAAGUUAAAAUGACUUAUUUCUUUAGAAUAUCUUUAUUACAUGAAUUAUAACCAAUAUAGAAUAUAGUUUCGUACUUAACCACAUAGAACUUCCAAAAACUAUACUUUUUUACCAUAACUCCAAAUUUAGUCGUUUUAGAACAUACGUUCUCGUAGCCGCACGUAGAAUAUUCUCACGCUGUUUGUUCUCAUGUUUGGUGUAAUUUUAUUUUUAUGUACUCCUUGUCUAUUUGUAUGUAUGCUACGCAUAGGAGUGAGGUCACGAGAUAUCUGAAGACCAACUUGGUGAAGUACCUAGAGAUCUUGAGUCUAAGGCAAGUUGUGCCCUUAAUCACUCCUUUUUACCUAAUAAUGUUGUUGGUCACUUGUUCUCAAAUGCUAUAAAUCAAGAACAAGGCAACACAAUUGUUAAUGGUUAAAGACCUUCGUCCUUCGAAGCAUUAUUUCCUCUCGGAUAUAACGAUCUUCAC
rnacentral:lncRNA from 1 species